rnacentral:rRNA from 1 species
UGCCAGCCGCCGCGGUAAUACGGAGGGUGCAAGCGUUAUCCGGAUUUAUUAGGUUUAAAGGGUGUGUAGGCGGACUUUUAAGUCAGUGGUGAAAUCCCGGGGCUCAACUCCGGAACUGCCAUUGAUACUGAAGGUCUUGAGUACAGUUGAAGUAGGCGGAAUGUGUAAUGUAGCGGUGAAAUGCUUAGAUAUUACACAGAACACCGAUUGCGAAGGCAGCUUACUAAGCUGUUACUGACGCUGAUGCACGAAAGCGUGGGGAGCGAACAGGAUUAGAUA